AUCGCUUCUCGGCCUUUUGGCUAAGAUCAAGUGUAGAAUCCCUUCCAAUGAAUGUAAUACGAUAGGUGCCUCCAGCCUCUGCAAAUAUUAAGGCUUCAUCCUUAAACUGUCUUCUUACUCUGGUUGAGUGAAGUUUAAAGUACAAUAAUGAGAAAUGAUUCUUACUGGAGUAUAUAGAAUAUAGAAUAU